GACGAACGCUGGCGGCGUGCUUAACACAUGCAAGUCGAACGGAAAGGCUCUGCUUUUGUGGGGUGCUCGAGUGGCGAACGGGUGAGUAACACGUGAGUAACCUGCCCUUGACUUUGGGACAACUUCAGGAAACUGGGGCUAAUACCGGAUAGGAGCUCCUGCUGCAUGGUGGGGGUUGGAAAGUUUCGGCGGUUGGGGAUGGGCUCGCGGCUUAUCAGCUUGUUGGUGGGGUAGUGGCUUACCAAGGCUUUGACGGGUAGCCGGCCUGAGAGGGUGACCGGCCACAUUGGGACUGAGAUACGGCCCAGACUCCUACGGGAGGCAGCAGUGGGGAAUAUUGCACAAUGGGCGGAAGCCUGAUGCAGCAACGCCGCGUGCGGGAUGACGGCCUUCGGGUUGUAAACCGCUUUCGCCUGUGACGAAGCGUGAGUGACGGUAAUGGGUAAAGAAGCACCGGCUAACUACGUG
rnacentral:rRNA from 1 species